UGGGGAAUUGUUCGCAAUGGGCGCAAGCCUGACGACGCAACGCCGCGUGGAGGAUGAAGGUCUUCGGAUUGUAAACUCCUGUUGACCGGGAAGAAUGGCUCCCGAUCGAAUAGAUCGGGGGAAUGACGGUACCGGUUGAGGAAGCCACGGCUAACUCUGUGCCAGCAGCCGCGGUAAUACAGAGGUGGCAAGCGUUGUUCGGAAUUACUGGGCGUAAAGGGCGCGUAGGCGGCCUUCUAAGUCAGACGUGAAAUCCCCCGGCUUAACCUGGGAACUGCGUCUGAUACUGGGAGGCUGGAGUUCGGGAGAGGGAUGCGGAAUUCCAGGUGUAGCGGUGAAAUGCGUAGAUAUCUGGAGGAACACCGGUGGCGAAGGCGGCAUCCUGGACCGAUACUGACGCUGAGGCGCGAAAGCUAGGGGAGCAAACGG
rnacentral:rRNA from 1 species